AGGUUAAGUUAGUAAGGGCGCACGGUGGAUGCCUUGGCACUAGGAGCCGACGAAGGACGUGACAAACGACGAUAUGCCUUGGGUAGCUGUAAGUAAGCGAUGAUCCAGGGAUUUCCGAAUGGGGGAACCCAACAGGUAAUACCUGUUACCUACAUCUGUUAAGGAUGUGAGGAGGAAGACGCAGUGAACUGAAACAUCUAAGUAGCUGCAGGAAGAGAAAGCAAAAGCGAUUGCCUUAGUAGCGGCGAGCGAAACGGCAGAAGGGCAAACCGAAGAGUUUACUCUUCGGGGUUGUAGGACUGCAAUGUGGACUCAAAGAUUAUAGAAGAAUGAUUUGGGAAGAUCAGCCAAAGAGAGUAAUAGCCUCGUAUUUAAAAUAGUCUUUGUACUUAGCAGUAUCCUGAGUACGGCGGGACACGUGAAAUCCCGUCGGAAUCUGGGAGGACCAUCUCCCAACCCUAAAUACUCCCUAGUGACCGAUAGUGAACCAGUACCGUGAGGGAAAGGUGAAAAGCACCCCGGGAGGGGAGUGAAAUAGAACCUGAAACCGUGUGCCUACAACAAGUUCGAGCCCGUUAAUGGGUGAGAGCGUGCCUUUUGUAGAAUGAACCGGCGAGUUACGUUAUGAUGCGAGGUUAAGUUGAAGAGACGGAGCCGUAGGGAAACCGAGUCUGAAUAGGGCGCCUUAGUAUCAUGACGUAGACCCGAAACCAUGUGACCUACCCAUGAGCAGGUUGAAGGUGCGGUAAGACGCACUGGAGGACCGAACCAGGGCACGUUGAAAAGUGCUUGGAUGACUUGUGGGUAGCGGAGAAAUUCCAAACGAACUUGGAGAUAGCUGGUUCUCUCCGAAAUAGCUUUAGGGCUAGCGUCGACAUUAGAGAUUCUUGGAGGUAGAGCACUGUUUGGGUGAGGGGUCCAUCCCGGAUUACCAAUCUCAGAUAAACUCCGAAUGCCAAUGAAUUAUGGUCGGCAGUCAGACUGCGAGUGCUAAGAUCCGUAGUCGAAAGGGAAACAGCCCAGACCACCAGCUAAGGUCCCAAAAUAAUUGUUAAGUGGAAAAGGAUGUGGGGUUGCACAGACAACUAGGAUGUUAGCUUAGAAGCAGCUAUUCAUUCAAAGAGUGCGUAAUAGCUCACUAGUCGAGUGACCCUGCGCCGAAAAUGUACCGGGGCUAAAACAAUUUACCGAAGCUGUGGAUACCUUUAUAGGUAUGGUAGGAGAGCGUUCUAUGUGUGAUGAAGGUAUACCGUGAGGAGUGCUGGAACGCAUAGAAGUGAGAAUGCCGGUAUGAGUAGCGAAAGACAGGUGAGAAUCCUGUCCACCGUAAGACUAAGGUUUCCAGGGGAAGGCUCGUCCGCCCUGGGUUAGUCGGGACCUAAGGAGAGACCGAAAGGUGUAUCCGAUGGACAACAGGUUGAUAUUCCUGUACUAGAGUAUGUAGUGAUGGAGGGACGCAGUAGGCUAACUAAAGCAGACGAUUGGAAGAGUCUGUCUAAGCAGUGAGGUGUGAAUUGAGUCAAAUGCUUAAUUCUAUAACAUUGAGCUGUGAUGGGGAGCGAAGUUUAGUAGCGAAGUUAGUGACGUCACACUGCCAAGAAAAGCUUCUAGCGUUUAAACAUACUCUACCCGUACCGCAAACCGACACAGGUAGUCGAGGCGAGUAGCCUCAGGUGAGCGAGAGAACUCUCGUUAAGGAACUCGGCAAAAUGACCCCGUAACUUCGGGAGAAGGGGUGCUGACUUUAAGUCAGCCGCAGUGAAUAGGCCCAAGCAACUGUUUAUCAAAAACACAGCUCUCUGCUAAAUCGUAAGAUGAUGUAUAGGGGGUGACGCCUGCCCGGUGCUGGAAGGUUAAGAGGAGUGCUUAGCGUAAGCGAAGGUAUGAAUUGAAGCCCCAGUAAACGGCGGCCGUAACUAUAACGGUCCUAAGGUAGCGAAAUUCCUUGUCGGGUAAGUUCCGACCCGCACGAAAGGCGUAAUGAUUUGGGCACUGUCUCAACGAGAGACUCGGUGAAAUUUUAGUACCUGUGAAGAUGCAGGUUACCCGCGACAGGACGGAAAGACCCCAUGGAGCUUUACUGCAGUUUGAUAUUGAGUGUCUGUACCACAUGUACAGGAUAGGUAGGAGUCUAAGAGAUCGGGACGCCAGUUUCGAAGGAGACGCUGUUGGGAUACUACCCUUGUGUUAUGGCCACUCUAACCCAGAUAGGUGAUCCCUAUCGGAGACAGUGUCUGACGGGCAGUUUGACUGGGGCGGUCGCCUCCUAAAAGGUAACGGAGGCGCCCAAAGGUUCCCUCAGAAUGGUUGGAAAUCAUUCGCAGAGUGUAAAGGUAUAAGGGAGCUUGACUGCGAGAGCUACAACUCGAGCAGGGACGAAAGUCGGGCUUAGUGAUCCGGUGGUUCCGUAUGGAAGGGCCAUCGCUCAACGGAUAAAAGCUACCCUGGGGAUAACAGGCUUAUCUCCCCCAAGAGUUCACAUCGACGGGGAGGUUUGGCACCUCGAUGUCGGCUCGUCGCAUCCUGGGGCUGUAGUCGGUCCCAAGGGUUGGGCUGUUCGCCCAUUAAAGCGGCACGCGAGCUGGGUUCAGAACGUCGUGAGACAGUUCGGUCCCUAUCCGUCGCGGGCGUAGGAAAUUUGAGAGGAUCUGCUCCUAGUACGAGAGGACCAGAGUGGACUUACCGCUGGUGUACCAGUUGUCUUGCCAAAGGCAUCGCUGGGUAGCUAUGUAGGGAAGGGAUAAACGCUGAAAGCAUCUAAGUGUGAAACCCACCUCAAGAUGAGAUUUCCCAUGAUUAUAUAUCAGUAAGAGCCCUGAGAGAUGAUCAGGUAGAUAGGUUAGAAGUGGAAGUGUGGCGACACAUGUAGCGGACUAAUACUAAUAGCUCGAGGACUUAUCCAAA
rnacentral:rRNA from 1 species